AGCCCAAUGUUUUUUUGUAUUGGGUGAUUUCUGCCCAGUGAAAUUUAAAUGGCCGCGGUAUCUUGACCGUGCGAAGGUAGCAUAAUCAUUUGCUCUUUUAUUGGGGGCUAGAAUGAACGAAAAUAUAAAAGUAUAGCUGUCUCUGCCGUAAAGCAAAAAUUGCUGGUUUUGUGAAGAAGCAAAAGUUCUUAAAAAAGACAAGAAGACCCUAUUAAGCUUUACUUUUAAGUCUAGUUUUUUUCCUUAAAAGAAAAAAAAACUAGACCGUGUUAGUUUGGUUGGGGUGACUUAAAAGGAGUAAAUCCUUUUUUUAUUUAUAAAACUUUUAGUUUAAAAAAGAUCCAGUUUUUCUGAUUCAUAGAACAAGUUACUAUAGGGAUAACAGCGUAAUUUUUUCAGAGAGUUCUUAUUGACGAAAAAGAUUGCGACCUCGAUGUUGACUUGUUGUUUCCUGUAAUGGUGUAGCAGCUAAAAGGGUUAGUCUGUUCGACUAUUAAAAUAAUACGUGAGUUGAGUUCAAACCGGUGUAA
rnacentral:rRNA from 1 species